AACUUUCAACAACGGAUCUCUUGGUUCCGGCAUCGAUGAAGAACGCAGCGAAAUGCGAUAAGUAAUGUGAAUUGCAGAAUUCCGUGAAUCAUCGAAUCUUUGAACGCACAUUGCGCCCUCUGGUAUUCCGGAGGGCAUGCCUGUUCGAGCGUCAUUGCAAACCCCUCAAGCACG
rnacentral:rRNA from 1 species